rnacentral:rRNA from 1 species
UACGAAGGGGGCCAGCGUUGCUCGGAAUCACUGGGCGUAAAGGGUGCGUAGGCGGGUCUUUAAGUCAGGGGUGAAAUCCUGGAGCUCAACUCCAGAACUGCCUUUGAUACUGAAGAUCUUGAGUCCGGGAGAGGUGAGUGGAACUGCGAGUGUAGAGGUGAAAUUCGUAGAUAUUCGCAAGAACACCAGUGGCGAAGGCGGCUCACUGGCCCGGUACUGACGCUGAGGCACGAAAGCGUGGGGAGCAAACAGG